UACGAAGGCAGCAGGGGGGAAUAUUGCACAAUGGGCGCAAGCCUGAUGCAGCCAUGCCGCGUGUAUGAAGAAGGCCUUCGGGUUGUAAAGUACUUUCAGUCGUGAGGAAGGUGUUAAGGUUAAUAACCUUAGCAAUUGACGUUAGCGACAGAAGAAGCACCGGCUAACUCCGUGCCAGCAGCCGCGGUAAUACGGAGGGUGCGAGCGUUAAUCGGAAUUACUGGGCGUAAAGGGCACGCAGGCGGUUAAUUAAGUUGGAUGUGAAAUCCCCGGGCUUAACCUGGGAAUGGCAUUCAAGACUGGUUAGCUAGAGUCUUGUAGAGGGGGUAGAAUUCCAUGUGUAGCGGUGAAAUGCGUAGAGAUGUGGAGGAAUACCGGUGGCGAAGGCGGCCCCUGGACAAAGACUGACGCUCAUGUGCGAAAGCGUGGGGAGCAAACAGGGAUUAGAUACC
rnacentral:rRNA from 1 species